rnacentral:rRNA from 1 species
UUAGCUAGUUGGUGAGGUAACGGCUCACCAAGGCGACGAUGCAUAGCCGACCUGAGAGGGUGAUCGGCCACAUUGGGACUGAGACACGGCCCAAACUCCUACGGGAGGCAGCAGUAGGGAAUCUUCGGCAAUGGACGAAAGUCUGACCGAGCAACGCCGCGUGAGUGAAGAAGGUUUUCGGAUCGUAAAACUCUGUUGUUAGAGAAGAACAAGGAUGAGAGUAACUGUUCAUCCCUUGACGGUAUCUAACCAGAAAGCCACGGCUAACUACGUGCCAGCAGCCGCGGUAAUACGUAGGUGGCAAGCGUUGUCCGGAUUUAUUGGGCGUAAAGCGAGCGCAGGCGGUUUCUUAAGUCUGAUGUGAAAGCCCCCGGCUCAACCGGGGAGGGUCAUUGGAAACUGGGAGACUUGAGUGCAGAAGAGGAGAGUGGAAUUCCAUGUGUAGCGGUGAAAUGCGUAGAUAUAUGGAGGAACACCAGUGGCGAAGGCGGCUCUCUGGUCUGUAACUGACGCUGAGGCUCGAAAGCGUGGGGAGCAAACAGGAUUAGAUACCCUGGUAGUCCACGCCGUAAACGAUGAGUGCUAAGUGUUGGAGGGUUUCCGCCCUUCAGUGCUGC